rnacentral:rRNA from 1 species
AGAAUCAACGCUGGCGGCGUGCCUAACACAUGCAAGUCGCACGAGAAAGUGGAGCAAUCCACGAGUAAAGUGGCGCACGGGUGAGUAACACGUGAAUGAUCCACCUCCGAGUGGGGAAUAACUGAGAGAAAUCUUAGCUAAUACCGCAUAAUACCCACGGGUCAAAGCAGCAAUGCGCUUGGAGAGGAGUUCGCGGCCGAUUAGCUAGUUGGCGGGGUAAUGGCCACCAAGGCGAUGAUCGGUAUCCGGCCUGAGAGGGCGCACGGACACACUGGAACUGAAACACGGUCCAGACUCCUACGGGAGGCAGCAGUGGGGAAUUUUGCGCAAUGGGGGAAACCCUGACGCAGCAACGCCGCGUGGAGGAUGAAAUCCCUUGGGAUGUAAACUCCUUUCGAUCGGGAAGAUAAUGACGGUACCGAUAUAAGAAGCCCGGCUAACUUCGCGCCAGCAGCCGC